CAAAAUGUGGGCUUCUACGAAAUGCUGCUGUAGGAAUGUGUGCUGUAAGAAGAGCCCCACUUCCUUCUGUAAUAACCAGUUUUCUCCUAACCAGAAAGGCAUGGGCUUUAAUGCAAAGCUCUACGGAUUUACUGUCCUCCGUGACGCUUGGGCACCACAGAAUACUGUCGGACUGCAUUAUGCGAAGGGAUCACAGCUAAUCAAGUGUGGGAAGAGAGGCCUGUGAUCACGUGUCUUGCUGCGGCAGCCUGCAUUGCCAAUGGAAAGAAAUGCCGAGAAGAAUUAAAGGACUCAAAUGUAAAAUAAGAAAAAGUAUGAAAGGAAACAAAAGUCCAAAAGGUAAUGUAAAUGAUAAAUCAAGAGCCCUUGAGCACUGAACCAUGCAAACCAUCAAGUUUCUAAACUUGCUGGAAAUAGGAGAAGGAAGUUGUUGAGUGUUUGUGAGAAUACGGAAGCUGUCAAUAAUCAAAAGACUCUGUUUUGAUAGAUGAUCAUUAAGGGAAAGUUCAAGAUGAAGAAAGCACAAAUAGAAGACAAAUAUGUAAUAUGUACAAAUGCGCAAUAAAG
ensembl:lincRNA